CUGAUAUGUUCUCAUCAGUUGAAUGGGAUAUUAGGUAGUAGUUGCUUUAUUGUUUACUUCUCUGUUCAUUUAGCUAAGCAGAUAAGAUGCAAUUGUUAGUAGAUAUCAGCAUAACUAUAUACGUGUUUCUUCCUCUAUGGGUCAUUUUUUCUAAAUUUUUGUUUUUGUCUUUAAAGUAGUUCCCAGACAAAAGUAUUGUGAAUCCAUACACAAAACUGUCAAAAGAAAGACAAGGACAAUGAUGGUUGGAAAUGUGGCUAUUGGCAGUGAGCAUCCCCUAAGGAUUCAAACAAUGACAACAAAUGACAAAGGAUGUAUCUGCCACAUUUGAAGAGUGGAGGCUUAGAAUUACAGCAAAAUAUUUUGGGAAAUUCUGUUUCUUUUUUAUGAUCAUUUUGACUUGGUAAUGACUUCUUGAGUUAUUUGGAUGAAAAGAAAGUGCCAAGUGCUGGGGUUUCAAAUAAAAUGAUGGAGAGGCUGAAAGUGGUUAUUGAACAGAUCACGACUGUAGCUUCUUGGUGUCAAGCUUAGUGAUGCUUCAGAGAAGUUAGGGAGAAGUUUGUUACAGGAGCUUCUGUUGUUAAGAUAAUGUGCUUUCUCAAAUUGAGCUCAUUUGUUUGCAAUGCUUUAUUUAAGUGGCAGCACUUCAGUUUUUUUUCUGGGGAAGUUAACAAAUUUACCUUUUGUUAUUGCUUUCAACUUUCUGUUUGUUAUUCUAGAGCUCUGCUCUUGAAUUCAUGAUUAUUAAAUGAAAUUUGUGUCACUAAAAAUUUCUGUUCAAGUGAUUUUAAAGUAAUUUGUAUCUAUGCAGUUAUCUGUAGG